rnacentral:rRNA from 1 species
GACGAACGCUGGCGGCGUGCUUAACACAUGCAAGUCGAACGGAAAGGCCCCCACCUUGGUGGGGGUGCUCGAGUGGCGAACGGGUGAGUAACACGUGGGUGAUCUGCCCUGUACUUCGGGAUAAGCUUGGGAAACUGGGUCUAAUACCGGAUAGGACCAUGGUUUAGUGUCUCAUGGUGGAAAAAUUAUUGUUUUGGUGCAGGAUGAGCUCGCGGCCUAUCAGCUUGUUGGUGGGGUAAUGGCCUACCAAGGCGUCGACGGGUAGCCGGCCUGAGAGGGUGGACGGCCACAUUGGGACUGAGAUACGGCCCAGACUCCUACGGGAGGCAGCAGUGGGGAAUAUUGCACAAUGGGCGCAAGCCUGAUGCAGCGACGCCGCGUGGGGGAUGACGGCCUUCGGGUUGUAAACUCCUUUCGUUAGGGACGAAGCCACAC